AGUGAACGCUGGCGGCAGGCCUAACACAUGCAAGUCGAACGGCAGCACAAGAGAGCUUGCUCUCUGGGUGGCGAGUGGCGGACGGGUGAGGAAUGCAUCGGAAUCUGCCCAUUUGUGGGGGAUAACCUCGGGAAACCGGGACUAAUACCGCAUACGACCUACGGGUGAAAGCAGGGGAUCUUCGGACCUUGCGCAGAUGGAUGAGCCGAUGCCGGAUUAGCUAGUUGGAGGGGUAAAGGCCCACCAAGGCGACGAUCCGUAGCUGGUCUUAGAGGAUGAUCAGCCACACUGGGACUGAGACACGGCCCAGACUCCUACGGGAGGCAGCAGUGGGGAAUAUUGGACAAUGGGCGCAAGCCUGAUCCAGCCAUGCCGCGUGUGUGAAGAAGGCCUUCGGGUUGUAAAGCACUUUUGUUGGGAAAGAAAAGCAGCCGGUUAAUACCCGGUUGUCAUGACGGUACCCAAAGAAUAAGCACCGGCUAACUUCGUG
rnacentral:rRNA from 1 species